GACGAACGCUGGCGGCGUGCUUAACACAUGCAAGUCGAACGAAGUGGCGAACGGGUGAGUAACGCGUAAUCAACCUGCCCUUCAGAGGGGGACAACAGUUGGAAACGACUGCUAAUACCGCAUACUGAAGGAGGGGAUUGGGUCUGAUUAGCUAGUUGGAGGGGUAACGGCCCACCAGGGCGACGAUCAGUAGCGGGUCUGAGAGUAUGAUCCGCCACACUGGGACUGAGAAACGGCCCAGACUCCUACGGGAGGCAGCAGUGGGGAAUUUUGGACAAUGGGAGCAAGCCGGAUCCAGCCAUGCCGCGUGUCUGAAGAAGGCCUUCGGGUUGUAAAGGACUUUCGGUAGAGAGCGUUAACUACAGAAGAAGCACCGGCUAACUCCGUGCCAGCAGCCGCGGUAAUUC
rnacentral:rRNA from 1 species